GGGGAGAUUUGUUGCUGGUAAACAAAACAUCGUGUUUAUUUCCUCUCUUGCCAUGCAUUUGCCAAUAUAGAAUGUAGACUCUAUUAUUUUAAUAGAACAGUCUAGCUUUGUGGAAAACGAGAUUCUCAUGAAAACACACAGGCAUUUUCCAUGAAAAAGGUGUAAGUGGGGAAUGAUUUGGUCGAUAACGGUGUGUGCAUUUGCUCCUUCAUUAAAAGUGUUUAUUAAGUGCUUCUUGUGGGCAGCGGUUUUGAGUAGACAGUUAUGCAAUCGUUAGAAGUGAGGAUUAUGAAGACUAAAUGGAAAAAUGCUUCCAGUUUGGACUUAAACGGAGAAAAUCAACAGGAUGCAAAUGGCUUAUGCGACAUGAUUACAGUUCUGAAAGGAAGAAGGCCCGGAAGUACACCAAAUAGUGACAGUGGCAUGUGGGCACAUUCCAUGACAGUACAGGAUUAUCAGGAUCUCAUAGACCGAGGAUGGCGAAGAAGUGGAAAAUAUGUGUACAAACCUGUCAUGAAUCAAACAUGUUGUCCUCAGUACACAAUAAGGUGCCGACCUUUACAAUUUCAGCCUUCAAAAUCUCACAAGAAGGUUUUGAAAAAAAUGUUGAAAUUUCUGGCUCAAGGGGAGGUUCCCAAAGGAAGUUGUGAGGAUGAGCCCAUGGAUUCCACAAUGGAUGAUGCUGUUGCGGGUGACUUUGCAUUGAUAAAUAAACUGGAUAUACAGUGUGAUCUUAAAACACUCAGUGAUGACGUCAAAGAGAGUUUAGAGAGUAAAGGAAAAAAUUCAAAGAAAGAAGAACCUCAGGAAUUACUUCAGUCACAAGAUUUCGUAGGAGAGAAGUUGGGCUCUGGUGAACCGUCACAUUCAGUUAAAGUUCACACAGUUCCUAAGCCAGGCAAAGGGGCUGAUUUGAGUAAGCCUCCAUGUCGAAAAGCAAAGGAAAUCCGGAAAGAAAGGAAAAGGUUAAAACUAAUGCAGCAGAACCCAGCUGGAGAACUUGAGGGUUUCCAGGCUCAAGGUCACCCAUCAUCUUUGUUUCCACCAAAGGCUAAAUCCAACCAGCCCAAAUCACUCGAAGAUUUAAUUUUUGAAUCUUUACCAGAGAAUGCAUCACACAAGUUAGAGGUGAGGGUGGUGAGAUCAUCUCCACCAAGUUCGCAGUUCAAAGCCACACUUCUGGAGUCUUACCAGGUCUAUAAACGUUACCAGAUGGUUAUUCACAAGAACCCACCUGAUAUGCCAACCGAAAGCCAGUUCACAAGAUUCCUUUGCAGUUCACCCUUGGAGGCAGAGACUCCCCCUAAUGGGCCAGAUUGUGGCUAUGGCUCCUUUCACCAGCAGUACUGGCUUGACGGAAAGAUCAUUGCUGUGGGGGUGAUUGACAUCCUCCCAAACUGUGUAUCAUCUGUGUAUUUGUACUACGAUCCUGAUUAUUCGUUUUUGUCUUUGGGCGUCUACUCUGCACUACGAGAAAUUGCUUUUACUAGGCAGCUUCAUGAGAAAACUUCUCAACUCAGCUAUUAUUAUAUGGGUUUCUACAUUCAUUCGUGUCCCAAGAUGAAAUAUAAGGGUCAGUAUAGACCUUCUGAUUUGCUGUGCCCUGAGACAUAUGUUUGGGUACCCAUUGAGCAAUGCCUGCCUUCACUUGAAAACUCCAAGUACUGCCGUUUCAACCAGGACCCAGAAGCAGAAACACAACGUUGAAUCAUUAGCUUAACUGAGAAAAAUUCUUAAAGGAUACUUGAUGCUGUAUUUUGGAAACCACAUAAUUGGAUAUUCAAUACAAUGUCUACUAGUAAUGGGAACAGCUGACUCGCAGACAGACAUAACAGUCCAAGAUUUAAAUCAUUCACACCCAACUUCAUAGAAGAAUGGAGUCUCUGCAUUUUUUUUUCCUGCAAGUGGAUGAGGAUCGCAGUACGGAACCUGACCGAUUGCAGGUGUUUCACAAGAGAGCCAUCAUGCCUUACGGUGUUUAUAAGAAACAGCAGAAAGACCCAAGUGAGGAGGCCGCUGUUCUGCAGUACGCCAGCCUGGUGGGGCAGAAGUGCUCCGAGCGGAUGCUGCUGUUCAGAAACUGACCUGUUCGCCUCUGCCGGGGGUUCCUGUGUUGUGCUGAUGAUUUGUGCCAGGAUACAUAUUCAGUACCUGUGGGGAAAUAACUGUCACCACCCACAGAUUAGACAUUUUUUAUUUUGACUAUCUGUGGCUUUUAAAAAAUAUUUUGUGGCAAUGUAUCUGUGAGAAUCUCAUAGUUAAUAUAAAGAUUUUAAAACUGCAUUAUGACCUAGCCCCCAUAAUUGGGGUUUAUCAUUUUGGAGGAUUCUUUCUAGAGCAAGAUAUGCUCAAAUUCUCCUGUUUGUAUUUUGUAAAAUGAAGAAGUGAAUCUAAGUAACUUAAUCACAGUUGUGCAUUUUUUUUGGUUCUGUUAGAGAAAUUAAAACAGACUGUUUCCUCAGGCCCAUUUUAAACUGAACUUAUGCUAGGAAACCUUAAGUAUGGGGAAGGUAGAAAGUUCAUUUCAUCACUUAGAAAAUAUGUCUUCUCAAGAACAAAACUGUUCUUGAGUUUUGUUCAAUAUGAAAUUGCUGCCAAAUGUUAUGUAGUUUAAUAAAGAACUUGAAAAAAUAAAACAUUAAAAUGGAUCUUGUGUUAGCAUCAGGUAUCCAUUUGUUCAGGACAGUCCUGUUCAUGUCUGUUGUCUUGGCAUAGUUUUUUCCCCUAGAAUAUAGUACUCCCUUUUACUCUAACAAAUAUCCCAGUUUGGACAAUAAAAUACAUAAUUACUCUAGUUAUAUUAUUUGCUUUAUUUCUAAAAAUGUAAGAAAUUGAAUUUUUUAAAGAAAAAUGUUGGUUCCUGCCUUGAUCUAAGCCUCAUCCAAAGGAAAUAGUCACUAGUUUUUUAUCUUACAACUCAGGACAUUUGUCUUUGGUUAUUAAUGGAAAUUAGUAUGUGAUUACUUUCAUAGUUAUGCCACAAAUCACAUUGAAGAAGGAAUCAUUCUGACCUCUGUUCCAGGACAAGAGCUAGAACAAUCCAUUUCUUGUCCUUUGAUUUGAGAGUCACAGUCAGGGUGGCUUCUGCCACCCUUAGUAACUCAGAGCAGAGGCCAGCCCCCUCCUUCCCUCUCACUUUCUUUCGCUGAGUCCUUUGCCCAUCUGUCAAGGUGGCAGGCACUGUGCUGGGUACAGGAGGACAGUCAGACAUGUCCCUUCUUAGCUAUAGUCGAGCUGUCUGGGAAACAGGAUGAAAAACAGGAGGGUUAUUUUCUUGUGCCCUCUUUGUCAGCUGAUCCCCUCUUCUGCUACCAGCUAUUUGGCCAGCAAGCUGUUUUUAGUCCCCACUUUGCCCAUUUUUCUGUUUUGGUUCAUCGUUUCUUAAAAGCCAUGUUAUAAAACGUGGUAGUUUGAAUGCUGUUGCUAAUUUUAAACUUUCCUCUAAAAUGUACUGAAUGUUGACAAAAAUUUGAAAAUAUCCUCAGCUAACUGGAAUAAAAAGGAUCAUAAAACAAUGAUUUUAAAACUGAAAUCUCUAGAAACUCAACAUCCAAAUCAGCCGUAUUUCUUCAUUCAGAGUGUGUGUGUCACACCUGCCAAGGUGCCGCGUACUCUGCUAACCGAGCUAGAGUAGUGAGCAAAGCCAUUUUCUCUGAUCACAAGAUGUUACAUUUUUCUGGGAUUUUGACCUGCAAAAUAGUCUCGUAAGAGCAUUUGAGAGACUUACUUGGAACUGCCUUCAGAAUCUAUAGAGCCUUUUUUCUCUUUUUCCUCUAAAAUGAAAAGAGCUUCAUUUUAUGAUUAUAACAAAAGUGAUACUGUAAGCAGUUAGAACAUUAAGAAGUAUAAAUAAAAAGUAAAAAUCAUCUACAUCCUACCAUACUCAGAAGGAGAAAAGAACUGUCAUGUAUGUAUACACACAUACCUGUGUAAUUUUAAUAUAAAUAGAAUUAUGUUCUACAUGCUGUUUUAUUUCCUCAACAGUAAAUUAUGGACAUGUCUGAAAUGCGAAAUAAAUUUCAAAAUAAGGCUUCAGAAAGUGUAGUAAGUAAUCUCUGCAUUAUUAAAAAUAAGCAGGGUAGGGCUGGUACUUGGCUCCCUCAGCAUUUGAAUGUCCAGCUUGAUGUUAUCACUGUAUCUUCCCUCCAUUUGUCUUUGUGAUUAGCAUGUAAAAUGGUAUUCAUAAAGAUCACAACCUUUGAAUAUCAGAUGAAGAGAAAACUUGACUCCAACAUCUUACCACAACUCUGGUUUCUUCCUGCAGAAUUCAUUUUCAGAGGAAAAUGAUGAAUCAUCCUUGUCUGUGAACCACUGUGCUUUCCUUGAGGGUGGCAUUGUAGGUUGACACCAGCAAAGACUCAGAGUGACUUGAGCAUUGGAGAUCCUUCUACUUGGCUGCUGUAUUCAUGCAUUAUGUUGGUUUGAGAAUAGCUAGUGUAUUGAUCCAAGUAGUCAAAGUGUCUUAAAAGGACACCUAUUUGUCCUUUUGAGCCCCAGCUGAGUGAAUACUGAUAGUGGACUAGAAAAGCAUAGUCAAGAAAAGUGACCCACCUUGUUACUUGACCAGCAGUCUAGCUGAGAGAUCUGAUUUUAUGUUCGUGGCUUUCUGUAAAGAAAGACACAAGGACUUUUCAAAGACAGUUUAUAUCUUUGUAAGGCACGAAGCUUUGCAUUUGUAAUCUUAGUGUUGUGUCCCCUUCUGAUUUUCAAAUACAUCACACCUGCCUUCCUGUUUUGGGAGCAAAGAUGUAAUUUCAAUUCCCCUUGCUACCAUCCUUAUUUAAAUUAUUUCCAUUCUAAGAGAUUUUUGUUAUUUUUUUAAAUGUAAUCUGAGCACUUUUUUGUAUUCUAAAAGAUAGAUGAUAUCAGAUAAAUAUAUUGUUCAUUUGAUUAAAAUUAUUUAGAUAAAUAUUACUAUGUUGACUUUUAAAUAGCUUUAUCCUAUUUUUCAUUCAUUUUGCAAAUAUUUGUUGUGUGUAGUUUCUUAACGUGUCAGAAUCUAUUAUGUAAAAGAACCUUUUCAGAUUUCUGAACAGUAUAUGCUUUGAUUUUAUAGGCUUUAUAUUAUUUCAGUAUGAAUAAAGAUAAGGAAUAUGAAACAGUUAACUAAAAUGUAUCUGUCAUUGCUAACUUGAAAAAUGAAGUAGAAACAGUUGGAAAAAUGUUUGAAUUAGAAGUUAUUCAAGUGCACACUCUUUUCUAAAAGAAAGCCAAUGACUAUAAGGCAAAAGAAGUUUGACUGCAUGUGGUAUUUUCUGCUCUUGUAUAUGCUUUUUGAACAAGCUAUUUGAUAAAGCCUGAAUGGAAAAAAUAAAGCUGUUUCUAUCUGCA